UUUUGUCAUGUUUCCUUAAGUGUCAACGAAAAGUACCAGGUUUCACCCGCCACCACCACGCCUGAAAUCCCUGUUUUUGAGACGGCCAUAGCAGAAAGUAUCAACGAAAUGGACCAGGAGGUUUCACCCGCCACCACCAC